CGCACAUGCAGAUUCCAAGUGUUCUGAUCGAUAUAACUGCAGUCAUCAUUAUAACUGGAGUUUUCUUCGUAUUUAUCUGCAAAAUAAUACAUCAUGGGUGAGAGAAGACAGUAAUAUCAAGAAGAUUUCCAGAUGCUGUUCAAGAUCAGCCACAUCUGAAUUAUCGGAAACUCCUGGCUCUUUGGAUGGAGAUGAGAUGACCCCUACACAAGCCUCCAGCAGCCGGGGAGUGAGGUUUACCAAAGUAUCACAAACUCAGCCAACAAUACUUUCUGCCUGGAUAACCAGGAAGUAGAUG